rnacentral:rRNA from 1 species
UACGGGGGGUGCGAGCGUUGUCCGGAAUCAUUGGGCGUAAAGGGCGCGUAGGUGGCGCGAUAAGGGUGUGGUGAAAGCCCGGGGCUCAACCCCGGGUCUGCCAUGCCGACUGUCAGGCUAGAGUACUGUAGGGGCAGGCGGAAUUCCGGGUGUAGCGGUGGAAUGCGUAGAGAUCCGGAGGAAGACCGGUGGCGAAGGCGGCCUGCUGGGCAGUUACUGACACUGAGGCGCGAAAGCGUGGGGAGCAAACAGG